rnacentral:ncRNA from 1 species
AUCGACAGGGGUGCUUUUGGCUGAGACGGAUCCUUAGAUCCGAACCCUUAUACCUGAUACGGAUAAUACUGGCGUAGGAAGUCUUCUUAAC